rnacentral:rRNA from 1 species
AACGAACGCUGGCGGCAUGCCUAACACAUGCAAGUCGAACGAUACCUUCGGGUCUAGUGGCGCAUGGGUGCGUAACGCGUGGGAACCUGCCCUUAGGUUCGGAAUAACUUCCCGAAAUGGGUGCUAAUAUCGGAUAAUUUCUUCGUACCAAAGAUUUAUGGCCUUUGGCUUGGGCCGCUUUUGUUUAGUUGGUUGGUAGGGUAAAAGCCUACCAACGCGAGAAUCUAUAGCUGGUCUGAGAGGAUGAUCAGACACACUGGGACUGAGACACGGCACAGACUCGUACGGGAGGCAGCAGUGGGGAAUAUUGGAAAAUGGGCAAAAGACUGAUCAAAAAAGGCCGCGAGAGUGAUGAAGGACUUAGGGAAGGAAAGCUCUUUUACCCGGGAUGAUAAUGACAGUACCGGGAGAAUAAGCUCCGGCUAACUCCGUG